UCCGAACGGGGGAACCCACCCUUUUAGGGUAUCCAUCUCUGAAUACAUAGGAGAUGUGAAGCGAACCGAGCGAACUGAAACAUCUAAGUAGCUCGAGGAAAAGAAAUCAACCGAGAUUCCGGAAGUAGUGGCGAGCGAAACCGGAACAGCCUGUUAUUUUUAGCUUGCGCGUUAGUAGAAUGGAAUGGAAAGUCCAGCCGUAGAGGGUGAUAGCCCCGUAUACGAAAGCCCGCAAGUGGAACUAGGAUAACGACAAGUAGGGCGGGACACGAGAAAUCCUGUCUGAACAUGGGGGGACCAUCCUCCAAGGCUAAAUACUCGUAAUCGACCGA
rnacentral:rRNA from 1 species